rnacentral:rRNA from 1 species
AGGGAUCAUUACCGAGUUGUCCUUUGUGACACUCCCUUUACACCCUUGUGAACAUACCGUCGUUGCCUCGGUGGGCGCGUUUUCUCGCCCGCCGAUGGCCCUAUAUACCAAAUUCUGUUUCUAUUAUUACUUCUGAACAAAUAACAAAUUAUGUUAAAACUUUCAACAACGGAUCUCUUGGUUCUGGCAUCGAUGAAGAACGCAGCGAAAUGCGAUAAGUAAUGUGAAUUGCAGAAUUCAGUGAAUCAUCGAAUCUUUGAACGCACAUUGCGCCCGCCAGUAUUCUGGCGGGCAUGCCUGUUCGAGCGUCAUUUCAACCCUCAAACCCCCGGGUUUGGUGUUGGAGAUCGGCAUGAGUCCUUCGGGGCGACGCCGUCUCCCAAAUAUAGUGGCGGUCUCGCUGUAGCUUCCUAUGCGUAGUAGCACACCUCGCACUGGAAAGCAGCGCGGCCACGCCGUUAAACCCCCCACUUUCUGAGUUUGACCUCGAAUCAGGUAGGAUUACCCGCUGAACUUAA